CCGGAACUUCACAGUGUGACACCCGGCGGAUGUGAACAAAGAAGCAUGAGCAGAGUUAGCUUCACUGCUGUGUGGACUGAGCUAUGAAACGGCUGUAUUAUCGUAUGAAUGAGAAAUAUCAGAGCGAUAAAGUAACGAUGUGUUCAGUUGAGUAUCUAAGAGAGUUGAUCAGCGACAGACUAACUGCUGCUGCUGGAGAAAUAUUCUCAGAGUUUGAAAAAACCAUCGUCCAGUACCAGGAGGAGAUCGAUCGUCAGCGCAGACUGCUGGAUGUCAUCUGGAAACCACACAUCCCCUUACAGCCCAUAGAGCUCCCACAGUCUUAUGUCUGUGAGAAUGAGAAGACUGUCAUUGACCAUCAGCCCCAUGACCAGGAGAGAAACUCCACGGUGGACCAUGAGGACCCAGAGCCUCUACGGAUUAAAGACCAGCAGGAGGAACUCUGCACCAGUUGGGACCAAACAAACCCAGAGAUUUCUCAAAUUAAAAUGGAACAGGAAGAAUUGUGCACCAGUCUGGACCAAUUAAACCCAGGGUUACCACAAAUUAAAGUGGAACAGGAUGAACGCUGCUCCAGUCAGGAGGAAGAGUUAAUUGGAUUGAAACAGGAGACUGAUACCUUUGAGGUGACUCCUGCUGAUGAGGAAAGUGACCACAGUGAACCAAAACCAAACAGUGAUCAGCUCCUGUUUCACAUCUCUUGUGUAUCUGAGAGCCCAGAUCAGGAAGGAAGCAAGGAUGUAGACUCAGGAUCAACUGGAUGUAUCGAGCAGAAACCAAGACAUCAGAGUAACAGCAGUCACAGUAAUGAUGUAGACAAUGCUCCAUUGCCAGCGAGACAGUGUGAUAAUGACAAGGCAAGAAAAUCUGCAACAUGUGAGGUCUGUGGAAAAGCUUUUAGCCAUAAAUCAGUUUUAAUCAUACAUCACAGAACCCACACAGGUGAGAAGCCGUAUUCUUGUGAAAUCUGUGGAAAAAGCUUUAGUCAUCGGACCAAUUUGACUGCCCACAUGAGACAUCACACAGGUGAGAAGCCGUAUUCUUGUGAAACCUGUGGAAAAAGCUUCAGUCAACAGGACUAUUUGACUGCCCACAUGAGAUGUCACACAGGUGAGAAGCUGUAUGUUUGUAACACUUGUGGAAAAAGAUUUUCUGGUUCAUCAGCAUAUCAUAAGCACAUGGCAGUUCACAAAAUGGGAAAGCCAUAUUCUUGUGGAAUCUGUGGAAAAAGCUUUAGUCAACGUUCCAAUUUGACUCCCCACAUGAGACGUCACACAGGUGAGACGCCAUAUGUUUGUGGAAUCUGUGAAAAAAGCUUUAGUCAUCGGUCCUAUUUGACUACCCACAUGAGAUGUCACACAGGUGAGAAGCCAUAUGCUUGUGGAAUCUGUGAAAAAAGCUUUAGUCAACAUUCCAAUUUGACUGCCCACAUGAGAUGUCACACAGGUGAGAAGCCGUUUUCUUGUGACACCUGUGGAAAAAGCUUCAGUCUUCGGGGCUCUUUGACUGUCCACAUGAGACGUCACACAGGUGAGAUGCCGUAUUCUUGUGGAAUCUGUGGAAAAAGCUUCAAACAUAGUUGUCGAUUAAAAGCACACAUGAGAAUCCACACAGCUGAGAAGUCGUGAUCCUGAAACAUCUGUGGAAAACAUAAUGUCAGAACUAAGGUUGAAACAUGGAAGAAUUGGUACAGGUUAAAAGUAGAUGUUUUAGAUUUAAAGCACCUUUAGUCUGUGCUUCAACAACAAUUGUGAGGAAGUAUGUAAGCAAUCCUUGAUGAUUAGACCAGAUGGAGUCUGGACUGUGGUGGUGGUGGAGCAGGCAGAAGAACCAAACUGAAUGUCUGGAUGGAUAUGGUAUUGGUACAGACUGCUACAUUUCUGCUAUCAUGACAUCCUUCAUCAGCAGAGCAGUGAUUGGAGAUAUUGUGAAGCUGUUUGGAACAUUUUCACAUCCUGCUGAGAGAACAUGGCUGUUCAGGUGUGAACAUACUGCUGGAAUCCACUCAGCUUGAGCUCUGCUGUCUUUAAAGGAAAAGGAGGCAACGAGAUACAGAGACAUUGUGACAGUAGGACACAACAGAGUGUGUCACUGCAGCAGAGGAGAUCUGGACAUGAAAUAAAGUUGUAAUAAAACGUCUACAGCUCCAUGACUGCUUCAUGAAAUGUUUUGAAUGUUUUCAAACAGUUGAACAUUUACAAGUUGUUUCAUAAUGAAUGUAACACUGAAGAUCCCCAGCAAGAAUAUCUCUGAGUCAGAUAUCAAGGACAUAACCAACAUUAUUGUGUUUUGAAGCAACAGACACGUGGUUUUACUAGUAGUAGCUGAUACACUCCUGCAAAUUUCAAAACCAGAAAUGUUAAAAACAGGUGAAGCUGUGCUGCAGUUUCUGCUGGUUAGAUAAAGGUCUUAUGCUAUUUAUUUCUUCUGUUGUCACCACAUAGGUCAUCUGUGUGAUUUGUUAGUAGGAUCUCAUUGUGUGGUCAUACAGCACAUUGAACCCUUGUAUUGUCUUAACGUCCUGAACACUCCUCCUGUCCUCAGGGUCAAAAAUGACCUGCCUCCACUUAGCCUCUAAAAUAGAGCAGCUUAAUGGAAUUUUAACCAAAAAUCUAUUUUACAUGAAGAAACAACCUGUCAUGCAUCACACACUUUGUGAAUGCCUGUUUUUGCUUCGUCAGAGGGUAGAAAGACUGUAUUUAAUCAGUGAACACCAUUCGUUUUUAUACCAUUGUUCAUGCUGUAACUGUUUUCUUUCUUUAAGUAGAGGUUUGUUAUCAUUAUUAUUGCUGCUAAAGGUACUGCAUAGGUGUAAGCAUUUCUUGUUUUGCAAGAGAUAAUACUUCUAUAGACUAAUAAAGUACCAGAAAUGUGCAGAAGUGAACUUGAAAUGCAUUUUUGAAGGGAAACAACAGUGUACUGUAUGCUGUGAAAUGGAAUGUAAAACUACAAAACUCAACUAAAAAAUGCUAGAAUUAUCUCAUCUUUUGAAUCCUUGCUCCCACUGACAAGAUGCAUAACCUACAUCAAUCAUAAGAAUAGAAAAAAUAAAUGAAUUAAGCAAAAUAUUACGAACAUAUUAAGCUCUAAUUAACACAUGGAGGACAGAAUGCAGCUGUAUUUGUCACACGUGCAGCACACAGUAUUUGUUUUACAGUCCUUGUUACUCCUGGAUGACUGAAAAAAAAUCUGAUCUCUGACCUGCUGGGUACUGAAACCUGAAAACUGCCCUCAUGGCUUCAGCAAAGAGAGAACUGCUGGUGUUGUCAUGUGCAGCACCUUUCUAACCUCUGAACACAUUCCCCGUUACUAAACCAUGCUUUAAAGAAAUGUUUCAUUUGUUUGAAAUUGUUAAAACUUGAGAUUUGUUGUGGAUGGUUGAUGUGGCACCUGCACAAGAAAGUUUUAGUUUAUCUAAGAUCAAUCAGUCGCACGCAUCAUCUAAGUUUUUCAUUUUGUGCGUGUUUGUGCACACGCACCUGCGGGUCUGUGUGCGUCGUUGUGGUUGUAGAGGUGUGUGUGAUGUGGAUGUGUGUUUUAGUCCUAUGUGACUGAUUUUUAACUGCUGGGUAAAAAAUGACCCGAAGACAGUCUUUGUACCCUGGUGGUGUACAGCUUUGAUGAAAAUGAGGCUCUUCUCUUUUUUCAUCUGAUUGUGACACAGCUCACAUCGCUUCACUCUCAUUCUCAUGUCACACUCCUUUGCAUAGUGUCCCUGCUCUUUACACACAUGACACCAGAAUUCCCAUUUGGACAUUCAUACAUUCUCAUUACUGAAGGAUGUGACCCUACUGUAUACACCGUCUGCAGACUUUCACCUGGCUAUCCUGGAUUACAUGUACAUAUUCGGGGUCUGUCACGUUCAUAAACUUCGCUCAAUAUGGCAGCGACUGAACAUAGUCAGUGAAUUUUACCUUGACAUACCUUGUGCCAUCAGCGAUAUUUGUACCAGGCCACAUCCUCCUCUAAAUGGGUGAAACCACCGUCACCUCCUGGCCAAUCAGCUUUUCAAUGAUGUAAAGUGGCAGCGUGAGGAAGGAUACUGCCAGCUCAUCUUUAUUAAGUUCUUUAGCCAUUACAGCUGUUUCCCGAUCUGGAAGCCAUCCAGCAGCCUCUUGAAUCCUGCUUCGCUGGUCAUUGUGAUCUCAUAUUUCACUGCUGAUAGUUGUCGACAUGCCAUCAGCCCUCCACACACACCUCAACAAUUCCAUCACCGUUCCUUUCUCCUCCUCAAUCAGUUCAAUCUGGCACGUUAGCUAUUUGUUGUAACUUAUCUUAGCUUCAUCCUGUUUUUUCUGCUCACUGCUCUUCUCUUCCAUCACUUCCACUGCCAUUGCUCUCCUCCUGCUCUCCGUCAUGCCGUCAUUGUCCGUCAUCUGUGACGUUGUCGUCCGUCUUUCCGUUGUCAUUGCCAUGUUUUGCUUUCCUUUAUUAGUUUCCGUCUCCAUUUGUCUGUGUCCGUUCUGUGUAGUCAUUUCAUUGAUACUGUAAGCGAUCGUGUUGUCCUUCCUGCCCACCAACCAAACAGUUUUAGGGAACAGCGGAUGGCCAUUAUGUGUGUUAAUUUGGACAGAAUGAGGGAGUUGGGAGCCGUGUCCCGUUUUUCGUUUUCCUUCAUCCAAACGGAAAUCGAAAAUCGGAUGGUUUCCCGUUUUUCGUUUACCCAUAUCAAUCCGGAAAACGGAUGGCCGUAAAGUACACGGACCACCUUGCCCCUCAGUCAGUCCCUGCAUCCUCCACAACCCAAACUGACCUGGGAGUUUGGCCAGCAGCCCACCCCACCAUUUGUCCCUCGCUGCUGCAGCAUCCUUUCCAAGGACACUGAGUCGUGCCAGUGGCUUAGCCACCAAACUGUACAAAAGUGCAGAGAUAGGACAGCCCUGCCUGUUCGAUCUUUGAAGGUGAAUUGGCUGUGUCAAAAAGCCAUUACAUUUUAUUUGACGGUGUGCAUUGCUGUAUAGUCGUUCUAACCAUCCCAUGUACCUGUCCCUGAACCUCAGUUUUGUCAUUACCCCCCAUAGAAACUUUUGUUCCACUCUGUCAAAAGCUGUAUUGAAGUCAGCUGUCAUAUAGAUCCCUCCCAUAACUGUUCCACCCCGUGUUUUACUGUGAGUAUUGUCUGAUAUGUCCCUCCCAGGUAUACUGUACGAUUGUGUCUGACCUACUAUGUUAUGUAUUAUGUUUUUUAACCUGUUUGCCAGUAUUUUUGCCAAUACAGACCUGCCAACCUGUACGCAUUUUGCGUAGCAGGUACGCAAUUUGACAUCAAAAUACGCUGGUACGCUCCGCCUCAUUAAACUACGCAAAAAGCUGCAGACAUCUGUGAGUACUGUUAGAAAUGUGGACGUGCAAUACUCAUGCAUGAUGCAGCAGUGCAGUGGUUCAAUUUCAACCAAUCAUCAUAGAAUAGCGGAGAAUAACGAGUCUGCCGAACCCUUGUUGGCCCGCUCUCUCCUGUCCUCUGCCUCUCUCUGCCUCUCUCCCCGUUCCCUGUGCCCCCCCCGCAGCAGCUGGCGGUUAAAACGGUAAAAUGGUGUGUGUGUCUCUGUGUGUGUGCACACGUGAGUGUACGUGUGUGUCUUUUGGCAAAUAUGUACUGUUAACAACGUUACUUUCACGUUGAAAAUACGAUGUCAUAUCAGGGAAAUAAGCACCGAGAAUUUUUUUUUCCUAUCGACAUGAGCGCGAGGUGUGUGUGUUUGUGAGAUUAAGUGGUACGCAAAAUAUUUCACCAAGGUUGGCAGGUCUGCCAAUAUUUUGUAGACUGAUGGGUCUGUAGUUCACUCACACACACACACACACACACACACACACACACACACACACACACACACACACACACACA